GGAGGCAAAGAGUGCAUUCAAAACUCUUUUGGAAUAUGCAAAUAUUAGGUUUGAUUGCACGUGGGAUCAGGCCAUGAGAGCAGUAAUUAAUGAACGGAGAUAUGGUGCUCUAAAAUCCCUUGGUGAGCGGAAGCAAGCUUUUAAUGAGUAUCUGAGCUAAAAGAAAAAACUGGAAGUUGAAGAGAGGCGUGUUAAACAGAAAAAAGCUCGGGAAGAUUUCAGGAUAAUGUUAGAAGAUUGCAAGGAGCUGUCACCAUCGUCAAGAUGGAGUAAGGCAAUCUCCAUAUUCUAACAUGAUGAACGUUUUAAAGCUGUUGAGUGAGCUAAAGACCGUGAGGACCUUUUUGAAGAUUAUGUGGAGGAACUUGAGAAAAAGAUUUUAUAGGAGCAUGUGAAGGCAUUGGAGGAACAGAAGCGCAAUAGAGUGGAGUACUUAGAAUUUUUAAAAGCCUGUGACUUUAUUAAGGCCAGUAGCCAGUGGCGGAAAAUUCAGGACCACUUGGAAACUGAUGAAAGAUGCUCCCGCCUUGAGAAAAUCGAUCGCUUGGAGAUUUUCCAGGAAUAUAUACGUGAUUUAGAGAGCGAAGAGGAGGAGCAAAGGAAACUGCGGAUGCAAGAAUUGAGGAAAGCUGAACGUAAAAAUCAUGAUGAGUUCCGAAAACUGAUGGAAGAGCAUGUUGCUGUGGGAAUACUUAAUGCAAAAACUAACUAGCGUGAUUAU